UGGGCAAAGAUGGAGAUGGAAGGACAGAACCUUUAUUUAUCACCUGCAAUCACAACAAAGUUGGUCUUGGAUCGAAGAGAAUGGACGUUCCUAAUGUCGAAUUAGAUUCCAAUAUGGAGAAGAAACAGGCAGUUUGGCGAAAAGCACAAAAACGUUAUAAAGAAAUAUUCGAUUAAUUUUUUAACAAAUGAAUUAAUUUACAGCAAUAAACUAGUUCAAUAAAACUGUCUAGUCGCAUAAUAUGAAAGAGAUCAAAUUUAGUUUUCAAAUUUAUUAAUUAAAAUUAAAAAA